rnacentral:rRNA from 1 species
UUGGAGGGCAAGUCUGGUGCCAGCAGCCGCGGUAAUUCCAGCUCCAAUAGCGUAUAUUAAAGUUGUUGCAGUUAAAAAGCUCGUAGUUGAAUUUCGGGAUCAGUACGCCGGUCGUGCCUUCGGUAUGCACUGGUGUCACUGGUUUCUCCCUUCUGAAGAACCAUCAUGCCAUUCAGUUGGUGUGGCGGGGAAUCAGGACUGUUACUUUGAAAAAAUUAGAGUGUUUAAAGCAGGCUCGCGCUUGAAUACAUUAGCAUGGAAUAAUGAAAUAGGACGUUUGACCCUAUUUUGUUGGUUUCUAGGAUCGACGUAAUGAUUAAUAGGGAUAGUUGGGGGCAUUAGUAUUCAAUUGUCAGAGGCGAAAUUCUUGGAUUUAUUGAAGACUAACUACUGCGAAAGCAUUUGCCAAGGAUGUUUUCAUUAAUCAAGAACGAAAGUUAGGGGAUCGAAGACGAUCAGAUACCGUCGUAGUCUUAACCAUAAACUAUGCCGACUAGGGAUCGGAUGAUGUUAAUUUUUUAAUGACUCAUUCGGCGCCUUACGGGAAAC